rnacentral:rRNA from 1 species
GACGAACGCUGGCGGUGUGCUUAACACAUGCAAGUCGAACGGCAAGGCCCUGCUUUUGUGGGGUGCUCGAGUGGCGAACGGGUGCGUAACACGUGAGUAACCUGCUCUUGUCUUUGGGAUAACUUCAGGAAACUGGGGCUAAUAUCGGAUAGGAGCCCCUGUUGCAUUGUGGGCGUUGGAAAGUUUCGGCGUUUGGGGUUGGACUCGCGGCUUAGCAGCUUGUUGGUGGGGUAGUGGCUUACCAAGGAGUUGACGGGUAGCGGGCCUGGAAGGGUGACCGGCUCCAUAGGAAUAGGGAAGGGACCAGACUCCUACGGGAGGCAGCAGUGGGGAAUAUUGCACAGUGGGCGGAAGCGUGAUGCAGCAACGCCGCGUGCGGGAUGACGGCCUUCGGGUAGUAAACCGCUGUCGCCUGUGACGAAGCGUGAGUGACGGUAAUGGAUAAAGAAGCACCGGCUAACUACGUG